GACGGGGAAGAGCGUCACACCGCCUGGGGCUUGUAUCUUCCCAGUGUGAAUGGGACAGGACAGGAGAUGGGGACCUGUGACCAGCCUCAUCCAGAUGCUGAAGGUUGAGCAUUCUAGUGCAGGAUAGACCAUUUCAGCCUCAGGAUCGGAACGUCAAUUAACGGCUGACACUGCCCCCCACCUCUUCCCACCCAUCUGGGCUCCAGCGAGGAACGGAUCUCGGGGUACACCAUGAUCUUGCCAUUUUUAGUACUGGCCAUCGGCACCUGCCUUACCAACUCAUUUGUGCCAGAGAAAGAGAAAGACCCCAGUUACUGGCGACAGCAAGCCCAAGAGACCUUGAAAAAUGCCCUGAAACUCCAAAAACUCAACACCAACGUGGCCAAGAACA
rnacentral:lncRNA from 1 species